rnacentral:rRNA from 1 species
CCUACGGGUGGCAGCAGUGGGGAAUAUUGCACAAUGGGCGAAAGCCUGAUGCAGCCACGCCGCGUGAGCGAUGAAGGCCUUCGGGUCGUAAAGCUCUGUCCGCCGGGAAGAAAAUGACGGUACUCGUGGAGGCAGCCCCGGAUAACUACGUCAAAACCGCCGCGGGAUUACGUAGGGGGCAAGCGUUAUCCGUAAUUACUGGUCGUAAAGGGUGCGUAGGUGGUUGCUUGAGUAAGAGGUGAAUGGCUAAGGAUAAACCUGAGUAAGCCUUUGAAAGUGGGGAACUUGAGUGCAGGAGAGGAGAGUGGAAGUCCUAGUGUAGCGGUGAAAUGCGUAGAUAUUAGGAGGAACACCAGUGGCGAAGGCGGCUCUCUGGACUGUAACUGACGCUGAGGCACGAAAGCGUGGGGAGCAAACAGGAUUAGAUACCCGGGUAGUC